GGGGUUGAGGCUCAGCGGUAGAGCGCUUGCCUAGCAAGUACAAGGCCCUGGGUUCGAUCCUCAGCAACACAU
rnacentral:tRNA from 1 species